GAUGAACGCUGGCGGCGUGCCUAAUACAUGCAAGUCGAGCGAACAGACGAGGAGCUUGCUCCUCUGACGUUAGCGGCGGACGGGUGAGUAACACGUGGAUAACCUACCUAUAAGACUGGGAUAACUUCGGGAAACCGGAGCUAAUACCGGAUAAUAUAUUGAACCGCAUGGUUCAAUAGUGAAAGACGGUUUUGCUGUAUCGUCUAGAUGGAUCCGCGCCGCAUUAGCUAGUUGGUAAGGUAAAGGCUUAUCACGGCAACGAUGCGUAGCCGAGCGGAGAGGGGGAUCGGCCGCACGGGAACUGAGCCACGGUCCAGGGUCCUACGGGAGGCAGCAGUAGGGAAUCGUCGGCAAUGGGCGAAAGCCUGACGGAGCAACGCGGCGUGAGUGAUGAAGGUCUUCGGAUCGUAAAACUCUGUUAUUAGGGAAGAACAAAUGUGUAAGUAACUAUGCACGUAUUGACGGUACCUAAUCAGAAAGCCACGGCUAACUACGUG
rnacentral:rRNA from 1 species